rnacentral:rRNA from 1 species
AUUGAACGCUGGCGGCAGGCUUAACACAUGCAAGUCGAGCGGAGUGAUGGUGCUUGCACUAUCACUUAGCGGCGGACGGGUGAGUAAUGCUUAGGAAUCUGCCUAUUAGUGGGGGACAACAUCUCGAAAGGGAUGCUAAUACCGCAUACGUCCUACGGGAGAAAGCAGGGGAUCACUUGUGACCUUGCGCUAAUAGAUGAGCCUAAGUCGGAUUAGGUAGUUGGUGGGGUAAAGGCCUACCAAGGCGACGAUCUGUAGCGGGUCUGAGAGGAUGAUCCGCCACACUGGGACAGAGACAGCGGCCAGACUCCUACGGGAAGCAGCAGUGGGGAAUAUUGGACAAUGGGGGGAACCCUGAUCCAGCCAUGCGGCGUGUGUGAAGAAGGCCUUAUGGUUGUAAAGCACUUUAAGCGAGGAGGAGGCUCUUUUGGUUAAUACCCAAGAUGAGUGGACGUUACUCGCAGAAUAAGCACCGGCUAACUCUGUGCCAGCAGCCGCCGUAA